rnacentral:rRNA from 1 species
GGGAGGCAGCAGUAGGGAAUCUUCCGCAAUGGACGAAAGUCUGACGGAGCAACGCCGCGUGAACGAUGAAGGCCUUCGGGUCGUAAAGUUCUGUUGUUAAGGAAGAACAAGUACGAGAGUAACUGCUCGUACCUUGACGGUACUUAACCAGAAAGCCACGGCUAACUACGUGCCAGCAGCCGCGGUAAUACGUAGGUGGCAAGCGUUAUCCGGAAUUAUUGGGCGUAAAGCGCUCGCAGGCGGUCCUUUAAGUCUGAUGUGAAAGCCCACGGCUCAACCGUGGAGGGUCAUUGGAAACUGGGGGACUUGAGUGCAGAAGAGGAGAGUGGAAUUCCACGUGUAGCGGUGAAAUGCGUAGAGAUGUGGAGGAACACCAGUGGCGAAGGCGACUCUCUGGUCUGUAACUGACGCUGAGGAGCGAAAGCGUGGGGAGCGAACAGGAUUAGAUACCCUGGUAGUCCACGCCGUAAACGAUGAGUGCUAAGUGUUAGAGGGUUUCCGCCCUUUAGUGCUGCAGCUAACGCAUUAAGCACUCCGCCUG